AUGCCAAAGGACGCGGUGGUCAUCAUUCACUAUGGGCCGUACAGUGCAGUCGGCCUACCUGUGGAGUACCGCACCUUCCGCCUAGAGGGCCUACAAGCUGUGUUGACCAGAGAUGGACACAAGGUCAUCCUAGAGAAGAUAGAAGACCGGAAUGUGGUGGAACUCAUGGUGAACGAAGAAAUUGUCUUCCACUGUAACAUCCAAGACUUGGAGUUUGGAGGUGAUGGCAAACUAGACCCUCUGUGUGAAGAGGCCAGGAUAGCUGUCCUAAAUGCCUACUGAUCUCCUCGUCCGACGGGCUCUGAAGUCAAGAGAACAGCAGCUACCUCUGGCCCUCUGUGCAGCAAAAAGCAGUUCCGAGCCUUUGAAGGCUCUCGCAAUCCCAGGUCCCAGACACCCAACUGUAGCCCACGUUUGCAGCUAUAGAGAAAUGCAGAUAUUGAUCUGAUGACAUUAAAUGUGAGGUCAUGGUAAAAAAGCAUCACACCUUGGAGGAGAACUAGGAGAAAGAGGGUUCCUUCACAGAAGACUCGGGACACCCUGGUGAAAGAGAAGAGCUUUCAGGCUUCCACAGGCCAUCGGCUGGCUCAGAACGCAACCCAACCCCCACCCCCAGGCAGCUACAGGGCUCCCUGUGGCUUCCUGGCACCCCGGGAGCCCUGCUUUCCAUCCCUCCCAGUGGCCUCAAGCCCCUGCAACCCAGAACUUCAAAGGCAUCUGGGAGGUGAUGAAACCACUUGGGCAAGUUCUCUCUCGCAUGUGAGGAGAUGGGGGAUGUAAGUUUCAUUUUCAGCCCAAGCUUCACUUACCAGGUUUCAUUCAGAGAUUACCAUCACUUCGGGCUCUGGAAAUAUUUAAUCAUCCUCACUGAGAACCUGAGGCUAAAAAACUUUCUUCCUGGUGUCUGGUGCCAGUUACCUUCGAUGUAGUCCCUCUUUCUCAAUGACCAGUUUAAGUUAUUAUAGACGUAGCAUUCUGCUUUCAUAGGAACAUUUUACUCCACGAGAAAUACAUUUCCAUUAUAGUAAAAUGGAAAAAUA